AUGAGCAAAGCGAGAAGAUCUGCAAAGGAGAUCCUAAUUCUGAGGUCUUGGCUGUAAAUGAAAGAUUGAAAAGAUCAAAGGAGAAGGUUAGGAGUAAAUCUAAGGGCAGAUCAAAAUCUCAGGAUAGGAAGAAGACCUUGAAGUGUUACAAGUGUUAUCAGCCUAGACAUCUAAGGAGAAAUUAUCCUCUUUUAAAAUCA
rnacentral:lncRNA from 1 species